rnacentral:rRNA from 1 species
AGCAGCCGCGGUAAUUCCAGCUCCAAUAGCGUAUAUUAAAGUUGCUGCAGUUAAAAAGCUCGUAGUUGAAUUUCGGGAUCAAUAUGUUGGUCGUGCCUCGGUACGUACUGGCUUAUUGGUUUCUCCCUUCUGACGAACCAUGAUGUCAUUUAUUUGGUGUUAUGGGGAAUCAGAACUGUUACUUUGAAAAAAUUAGAGUGUUUAAAGCAGGCUCACGCUUGAAUACAUUAGCAUGGAAUAAUGAAAUAGGACGUUUGAUUCUAUUUUGUUGGUUUCUAGGAUCGACGUAAUGAUUAAUAGGGAUAGUUGGGGGCAUUAGUAUUCAAUUGUCAGAGGUGAAAUUCUUGGAUUUAUUGAAGACUAACUACUGCGAAAGCAUUUGCCAAGGAUGUUUUCAUUAAUCAAGAACGAAAGUUAGGGGAUCGAAGACGAUCAGAUACCGUCGUAGUCUUAACCAUAAACUAUGCCGACUAGGGAUCGGAUGAUGUUGAUUUUUUAAUGACUCAUUUGGCGCCUUACG